rnacentral:rRNA from 1 species
CCUACGGGUGGCAGCAGUGAGGAAUAUUGGUCAAUGGGCGCAAGCCUGAACCAGCCAAGUAGCGUGAAGGAUGACGGCCCUACGGGUUGUAAACUUCUUUUAUAAAGGAAUAAAGUGAGUCACGUGUGCCUUUUUGUAUGUACUUUAUGAAUAAGGAUCGGCUAACUCCGUGCCAGCAGCCGCGGUAAUACGGAGGGUCCGGGCGUUAUCCGGAUUUAUUGGGUUUAAAGGGAGCGUAGAUGGGUUGUUAAGUCAGUUGUGAAAGUUCGCGGCUCAACCGUAAAAGUGCAAUUGCUACUGGCAGGCUUGAGUACAGGUGAGGUAGGCGGAAUUUGUGGUGUAGCGGGGAAAUGCUUAGAUAUCACGAAGAA